rnacentral:rRNA from 1 species
GAUGAACGCUGGCGGCGUGCUUAACACAUGCAAGUCGAACGGGAUCCAAGGGGUGCUUGCACUUUUUGGGGAGAGUGGCGAAGGGGUGAGUAACACGUGAGUAACCUGUCUUUUUCUUUGGGAUAAGCAUUCGAAAGGGUGUUUAAUACCUUAUGUUCUGUCUGCCUCGCAUGGGGUGGGUGGGAGAGGCUUUGGCCGGAGUUGGGUGGGCUCGCGGUCUAUCAGGUUGGUGGUGGGGUGAUGGCUUACCAAGGCUUUGACGGGUAGGGGGCCUGAGAGGGUAGUCGGACAGAGGGGGACUGCGAGCCGGCCCGGAAUCCAGCGGGAGGCAGCAGUGGGGAAUAUUGGAAAAUGGGCGAAAGCCUGAUGCAGCGAGGCCACAUGGGGGUCGGAGGCUUACGCGUUGUAGUCGUGUAUGAAACGGAGCAGGGCGAUCCUCUGGGUGUGUGACGUGAAGGGGUGAAUAAGCACCGGCUAACUACGUG